UAUUAAUAAAUUGAGUUUUUUAAGUUUCCCGUAGUACGCCAAUUGGUGUGAAGGCACCUAACGUCAUUGAUCUUCGAAAGCAAUAAAGGAAAGAGCUAGGGAAGCCUCUUGACCAAAUGAGUACACCGAAAGAUUUUGGUCACAAUCUUCUAGUGAGCUGCAUUAUUAGUCACCUUUUGAUUGCCAUUUUAUUCUCAUGGAGUCCAAUACUCUAUUUCUCUUGUUCCAAAUAACGUACUCGAAGAGAAGGAACAAAGGAUUGCACCAGGAACCUUACCUGGAACAACGCACAUGUUGAGCUACUAAGUGGAUGUCACUCUUUGGUCGGAAGAAUUAGAGGCUUUGGAUGAUGUUACUUUGGCAGCAAAGUAAGCAAGGGAAGAGGAGAAGCUAUGAAAUCAAUGCAAAGGACUGCAGUGACAUUGUGGCAGAGAUAAGUAGUCAAGAUCCCUUGUCUAGUACUCGGCAACACCGGAAAGAUAACUCUUCUACAUAAGUUGAAGAAUAAGGUAUAUAUCUGAUAUUAACGCUGCGAUUUGGAGGUAUUUGGAUUGAGUUGAGGCACGAGGGAGGUUAAUGGAGGGGUUUAAGUGUGAAGUAGUGGAGGGAGAGAAGCCUUGUCCAAUGACGCGUCUGUGAACUGAACAUUCCAACUGCGAGUGAUGUGGGACCAACGCUGAAUUGCUUCUACGAGAUCGACAACAUUACGCUGCCUCGUAAUUCCCCCAUUCACCUCAUGACCAUUUGUGUUGUGCGGGAGGGGUGUAAGCGUGAAGUAGUGGAGGGAGAGAAGCCUUGUCCGACGAUGCGUCUGUCAACUAAACAUUCCAACUGCGAGUGAUGUGUAUCGAGUGUUCAGCGUGAGGUGGUAAUAUAUGUGCAGGGAACAACGCUAAAUUGCUUCUACGAGAUCGACCACAUUAGGCUGCCUCAUAAUUCCCCCAUUCACCUCAAGACCAUUUGUGUUGUGCAGGACCUCACCUUGUUACGCAGCAGCUCAAUUGAUUUUGAAACUUUUGGUUCAUGAAAUAAUGUAUCAAAUUUUACGGUGAAGAUGGAGGAUUGGGGUGGUAGAGCUGGGAUUUACCCUAUUAGCACUUGCUCAUGUUUGACACAAUGCCAUGCGGGAUGAAAAGAACAGUAAGUUAUGCCAGCAGUGGAGGUCUGGCUGUUCAAGCAUUUCAAGCAUAUUUUCAGCUUUGCUACAGGAGGCUUGGUUGCUUGCUGUACAGAUAGAAGAACCAGAUUGUAAAGGAUCAAAGGUAUUUGUAUACUAAUGAAUAGGGGAUUACUCAUGUAAGAUUUCCAUUGGCAAAGAUGAUGACAGCAUGUUACAAAGGAAACACCUCUCAGGCUGCAAUUGCCUCCUGGUCCAUUAUGAUGCUGAGUGGCAGCACCUUAAGGGGAGAGAAAAGGCAAAAGGAUAAAUGAAUGAUGAAUUGUUUAGAGAUGUACUAGUUGGAGAGUACUACAUGCACUAGUACAGUGAAAGCAUUCGCGAAAAUAGGAAGGAUAAACAAAAUCACCUAUGCCGCACUUGCUUUUCCUGUGGUUUAUGUCUUCUCUUUUUUUUGCCUUGUAAUUGUACGUGUGAUAUUUUAUGUUAUUAAGCAUUGUUAAACUGGGAGAGUUGCAUAUUCUUUUCUUUUUUAUUCUAUUUUUGUUAAAAACAAUUGUGGAUGUCGUGGUCAAGACUCUCUCUUUUUCUCUCUCUCUCUCUCUGUCUCUCAUGGUUCAGGCCUCUGGGCAUUUGGCCAUCUGCUAUGUUACAAUUUGAAAGUCUUUUAUAUUGUGAAAUACACAUAUAAUAUGUAUAUGGUAUCAAAACUUGUCUAUUUUCUUUUCAUUAAUGGACGUUCAUGUCGUAAAAAAUCUGAUCUCAUGUUGUAAUGUGUAGACAUGUGAACUGCAUUGCUUGGGCAAUGUAGCUGAAAUGCGUGAUAUAGUUUUC